AUGGCGGACGCAGGAGGCGAGCGCCCCGAUUGGGGCGCAGAUCUGGUGGAGCAGGGGCGGCAGGUCGCUGCGGGCACCUUUGUGAGGGGGCGUGCCGGCGUCCAGCGCGGUGCUCCCUCUGCUGGAGAUGUGGAGAAGGCGGGGGCGGGCCGCAACAGCGCGGUCCAGCCAGAUGCGCCCGCUCUGGCGAACUCCGGCGAGGCGCAGAAGGUGGAGGCGGGCUCUGGCGAGGCGCAGAAGGUGGGGGCGGGCUCUGGCGAGGCACACGAGGUGGAGAAGGUGGAGGCCGGCUCCAGCGAGGAGGAAGCGGAGCAGAAGCAGCAGCAGGAGGAUCUUCUGGGCAACAAGAGGAAGUGGGACAAGACUUGGUUCUACCCAUAUGAGUCUAAUGAAGAUGAGCCGUACGAGUAUGAAUCUGGAGAUGAUGUGGUCGAGGGGAACGUCGAGUCCUUUAAAGAGAAGGAGGUGUUGAAGAUCAGGGUCCAAGGACCUGCUAAGUACUACAACUGGAGGAAUGAAAAGUACCGAUGCCCCUACUGCAGCAAGCCCAAGCCCAGGUCUGGGUUAUUGGAGCAUCUGAUGGAACAUUGCCGGGCUACAUCGAUCUCCAGUCAUGACUACAAGAUCACUGGUCAGCAUUCUGCCGUCCUGAAGGUCCCGAGAAACCCUGUCCUCUAG
rnacentral:rRNA from 1 species